CAUACGCGCAUAAUACUGGCAUGGUAUGGUCAACUUUUUGAUACGAUUUAUAUCAGUGUAGUUGUCAAAAUCGUUCAAAAUAGUAAACAAGGCUUGAUUCUAAGCUAGAUUGCUCUCAACACAAGUUUUUUUUCGGGAAUUUGAAUAUUAAUAUGUGGAUAUUUCAUAUAAUUGUGGAAAAAAGAUCAGUUGGCCUUACAGGACGAAGUCGAGCGGCUAUAUAUUAUUUUAUUUAUUAAUUUUAUAAGAUCCGUGCGAAUUGCAAGUCCACUUGAAUGUACUCUUGUGAAAAAUCUCCGUUCGAAUCAUUUGGAACCUGCAAAUUCAAGUUUUCACACAAUCUUUGGUAGAGAAGGUUUCUGCUCGAACCUAGGAAUCCGAAGGCUUGAAUGGGGAGGGCACCCAAACCUCUUUCUACUCCAAGGAACCUUCCACCCCAGGGUACGAACUGACGACCUUUGGAUUGCGAGUCCAAUCACCGCCAGCGAUUCCACCGGAGCAGGUUUGGUUUGGUGUGUUGUUUGUACUUACGGCAUGGAGACGACUCCUGCACCUGGAACGACUUAACGGCCUAACAACCAAGGCCGGGACCGACGUUUUACUUCCUCAUUCGAUAGAAGGUUGGAGCAGAUGGGAAU